rnacentral:piRNA from 1 species
UGAGUACUGCGUGAGAGAGUCAUUCUGA